GAUGAACGCUAGCUACAGGCUUAACACAUGCAAGUCGAGGGGAAACGACAGAGGAAGCUUGCUUCCUUUGGGCGUCGACCGGCGCACGGGUGAGUAACGCGUAUCCAACCUUCCCGCAAGUAAGGGGAUAACCCGUAGAAAUGCGGCCUAAUACCCAAUGAUAUCCCACGAAGGCAUCCGAAUGGGAUUAAAGAUUUAUCGGUGAUGGAUGGGGAUGCGUCUGAUUAGCUUGUUGGCGGGGUAACGGCCCACCAAGGCGACGAUCAGUAGGGGUUCUGAGAGGAAGGUCCCCCACAUUGGAACUGAGACACGGUCCAAACUCCUACGGGAGGCAGCAGUGAGGAAUAUUGGUCAAUGGACGCAAGUCUGAACCAGCCAAGUAGCGUGCAGGAUGACGGCCCUAUGGGUUGUAAACUGCUUUUAUGUGGGAAUAAAGUCAGGGACGUGUCCCUGUUUGCAUGUACCACAGGAAUAAGGACCGGCUAAUUCCGUG
rnacentral:rRNA from 1 species